UACGUAGGGUGCAAGCGUUAAUCGGAAUUACUGGGCGUAAAGCGUGCGCAGGCGGCUUUGCAAGACAGAUGUGAAAUCCCCGGGCUCAACCUGGGAACUGCAUUUGUGACUGCAUGGCUAGAGUGCGGCAGAGGGGAUGGAAUUCCGCGUGUAGCAGUGAAAUUCGUAGAUAUUCGGAAGAACACCAGUGGCGAAGGCGACUCACUGGACAUGUAUUGACGCUGAGGUGGCGAAAGCGUGGGGAGCAAACAGG
rnacentral:rRNA from 1 species